rnacentral:rRNA from 1 species
UGGGGAAUCUUGCGCAAUGCGCGAAAGCGUGACGCAGCAACGCCGCGUGGGGGAAGACGGCCUUCGGGUUGUAAACCCCUUUCAGGAGGGACGAAGGUUCACCGGUGAAUAGCCGUGUGGAUUGACGGUACCUCCACAAGAAGCUCCGGCUAACUACGUGCCAGCAGCCGCGGUAAUACGUAGGGAGCAAGCGUUGUCCGGAAUCAUUGGGCGUAAAGCGCGCGUAGGUGGCUCUAUAAGUCCGUUGUGAAAGUCAAAGGCUCAACCUUUGAAAGCCGAUGGAUACUGUAGAGCUAGAGUCCGGAAGAGGCGAGUGGAAUUCCUGGUGUAGCGGUGGAAUGCGCAGAUAUCAGGAGGAACACCAAUAGCGAAGGCAGCUCGCUGGGACGUGACUGACACUAAGGCGCGAAAGCGUGGGGAGCGAACAGG